rnacentral:rRNA from 1 species
GCAUAGGAAUCUACCUAGUAGUAUGGGAUAGCCACUAGAAAUGGUGGGUAAUACUGUAUAAUCCCUGCGGGGGAAAGAUUUAUCGCUAUUAGAUGAGCCUAUGUUAGAUUAGCUAGUUGGUAGGGUAAAGGCCUACCAAGGCGAUGAUCUAUAGCUGGUCUGAGAGGAUGAUCAGCCACACUGGAACUGAGAUACGGUCCAGACUCCUACGGGAGGCAGCAGUGGGGAAUAUUGGACAAUGGGCGCAAGCCUG